AAAAACACAUACAGAAUAUGGCCCAAUUGCACAAUAAAUCUAGAACUUAAACUCAAUGCUUAACAUCCAACAAAAUAUAAAAACAUGACAAAUUCUACAAAUAAAAAAACGGAGAUACAAAAGUGUACCGAAACAAUUGUUUGCUUCAUCUGUGUGUCCCAUGACCUGAUCAACUGUAGAAGAAGAACCAACACCUUCAAGACAUCAACGGUAUAAUUUCAUAAGAAAAGGCAUAAGCAUCAAGUGAAGUAAUUAUCAUUGAUACAAAUCUGAAAACUUACCACUACAACGAGACCUAUAGGACUGAAAACGAUAUCAAAUAUCAUUAUCAUCAAUACUUGCAAAUACACUCCCUGACUCCACUGAGUUGAAGCAAUAGAGUGUAGACACUCCCGCUGCGGGCACCGACAAAAAAAAUCCUCUUCAUCUUCUAUUUCUACAGCAUGAAAUGAAAUUGAUAAGUGGUAACAAAACGCAUCGAUUCGAGUUCAAUUCAAUACAUAUGCAUCUGUAUUUCAACUGAAUCUAGCUUCAAUGCACAGAUUCAGAAUUCCCGCAAAAAAUAAAAAAUGCACAAGUUCAGAAAUUACCUAGUGUCUCACUCACAGUCCAGGAAAUUACGAGUCGGCGAGGCGAGCAGCAGCAGCGGUGCGCAGAGUAGCUGAGCGAGGAGUCGGAGUGGGCGCUCCUCGGCUUUGGCGGCGCAGCGGAGGCAGGG
rnacentral:lncRNA from 1 species